UCCGUAGGGUGCAAGCGUUAAUCGGAAUUACUGGGCGUAAAGCGUGCGCAGGCGGUUCUGCAAGUCUGUCGUGAAAUCCCCGGGCUUAACCUGGGAAUUGCGAUGGAGACUGCAAGGCUAGAAUCUGGCAGAGGGGGGUAGAAUUCCACGUGUAGCAGUGAAAUGCGUAGAGAUGUGGAGGAACACCGAUGGCGAAGGCAGCCCCCUGGGUCAAGAUUGACGCUCAUGCACGAAAGCGUGGGGAGCAAACAGG
rnacentral:rRNA from 1 species